GUGUAUGACUGUGUACGUGACAAAUAAAAUUUGAAUUUGAAUUUGAGCUGCAGAAAACGGUUCACUGUCAGCCGGCGGUGUUUGUCACCUCCCUGGCUGCUGUGGAGAGACUCAACCAAGAAAACCCCAAAGCCAUUGAGAUGUGUGUCGCUGCUGCAGGUUUCAGUGUCGGAGAAUUUGCUGCUCUUGUCUUUUCUGGGGCGAUGAACUUUGCAGAAGGAGUAAAUGCAGCUCAACUCCCAGUCCUACUGCCAGUUUCUGGAAGACACCUUCUUCAAGCA